rnacentral:rRNA from 1 species
AGCGAACGCUGGCGGCAGGCCUAACACAUGCAAGUCGAGCGGCCGUAGCAAUACGGCAGCGGCAGACGGGAUAGUAACACGUGGGAACGCGCCCUUCGGUUCGGAAUAACUCAGGGAAACUUGAGCUAAUACCGGAUACGCCCUUACGGGGAAAGAUUUAUUGCCGAAGGAACGGCCCGNGUCGGAUUAGCUAGUUGGUGAGGUAAUGGCUCACCAAGGCGACGAUCCGUAGCUGGUCNGAGAGGAUGACCAGCAUCACUGGGACUGAGACACGGCCCA